rnacentral:rRNA from 1 species
UACGGAGGAUCCGAGCGUUAUCCGGAUUUAUUGGGUUUAAAGGGUGCGUAGGCGGUCAGGUAAGUUAGAGGUGAAAGCUCGAUGCUCAACAUCGAAACUGCCUCUGAUACUGUCUGACUAGAGUGUAGUUGCGGAAGGCGGAAUGUGUGGUGUAGCGGUGAAAUGCUUAGAUAUCACACAGAACACCGAUUGCGAAGGCAGCUUUCCAAGCUAUUACUGACGCUGAGGCACGAAAGCGUGGGGAGCGAACAGG